rnacentral:rRNA from 1 species
CAAUAGCGUAUAUUAAAGUUGUUGCAGUUAAAAAGCUCGUAGUUGGAUUUGUGGCGUACGGUGUGUUCCGGGCACUUGUUGCCUGAGUAACCUGCUGUUGCCAUCCUUGGGUGGAACCUGUGUGGCAUUAGGUUGUCGUGCAGGGGAUGCCCAUCAUUUACUGUGAAAAAAUUAGAGUGUUCAAAGCAGGCUUAUGCCGUUGAAUAUAUUAGCAUGGAAUAAUGAGAUAGGACUUUUUUGCUAUUUUGUUGGUUUGCGCAAAGAGGUAAUGAUUAAUAGGGACAGUUGGGGGUAUUCGUAUUCCAUUGUCAGAGGUGAAAUUCUUGGAUUUCUGGAAGACGAACUACUGCGAAAGCAUUUACCAAGGAUGUUUUCAUUAA